CCGUGGCGGACGGGUGAGGAACGCGUAGCUGACCUGCCCCGACCCGGGGGAUAGUCGCCGGAAACGGCGCGCAAUACCCCAUGCCGUCACCUGGAGGGAUCUGGGUGACGAAAGGUUGGAAGACCGGGUUGGGAGGGGGCUGCGGCGGAUUAGCUAGAUGGCGGGGUAACGGCCCACCAUGGCGAUGAUCCGUAGCUGGUCUGAGAGGACGAUCAGCCACACGGGGACUGAGACACGGCCCCG
rnacentral:rRNA from 1 species